rnacentral:rRNA from 1 species
GCUCAGGAUGAACGCUGGCGGCGUGCUUAACACAUGCAAGUCGAACGGUGAACACGGAGCUUGCUCUGUGGGAUCAGUGGCGAACGGGUGAGUAACACGUGAGCAACCUGCCCCUGACUCUGGGAUAAGCGCUGGAAACGGCGUCUAAUACUGGAUACGAGUAGCGACCGCAUGGUCAGUUACUGGAAAGAUUUAUUGGUUGGGGAUGGGCUCGCGGCCUAUCAGCUUGUUGGUGAGGUAAUGGCUCACCAAGGCGUCGACGGGUAGCCGGCCUGAGAGGGUGACCGGCCACACUGGGACUGAGACACGGCCCAGACUCCUACGGGAGGCAGCAGUGGGGAAUAUUGCACAAUGGGCGCAAGCCUGAUGCAGCAACGCCGCGUGAGGGAUGACGGCCUUCGGGUUGUAAACCUCUUUUAGCAGGGAAGAAGCGAAAGUGACGGUACCUGCAGAAAAAGCGCCGGCUAACUACGUGCCAGCAGCCGCGGUAAUACGUAGGGCGCAAGCGUUAUCCGGAAUUAUUGGGCGUAAAGAGCUCGUAGGCGGUUUGUCGCGUCUGCUGUGAAAUCCGGAGGCUCAACCUCCGGCCUGCAGUGGGUACGGGCAGACUAGAGUGCGGUAGGGGAGAUUGGAAUUCCUGGUGUAGCGGUGGAAUGCGCAGAUAUCAGGAGGAACACCGAUGGCGAAGGCAGAUCUCUGGGCCGUAACUGACGCUGAGGAGCGAAAGGGUGGGGAGCAAACAGGCUUAGAUACCCUGGUAGUCCACCCCGUAAACGUUGGGAACUAGUUGUGGGGUCCAUUCCACGGAUUCCGUGACGCAGCUAACGCAUUAAGUCCCCGCC